UUUGUUACUUCAAACCAAACGGACUUCGGUCUGACAUCAAGUGAUAUUGAACAAUUUAGCUGAUCGCACGGUCUAAGAACCGGCGACAUAUCCUUCAAAUGUCUGCCUUAUCAACUUUCGAUGGUAGAUUAUGCGCCUACCAUGGUUGUAACGGGUAACGGAGAAUCAGGGUUUGAUUCCGGAGAGGGAGCCUGAGAAACGGCUACCACAUCCAAGGAAGGCAGCAGGCACGCAAAUUACCCACUCCCGGCACGGGGAGGUAGUGACGAAAAAUAACAAGCUGGUCUCAAUGAGUUCCAGCAUUGUAAUGGGAAUAAUUUAAAUCUUUUAUCGAGGAUCUAUUGGAGGGCAAGUCUGGUGCCAGCAGCCGCGGUAAUUCCAGCUCCAAUAGCGUAUAUUAAAGUUGUUGCGGUUAAAAAGCUCGUAGUUGGAUCUAGGAUUAGGGCUACGGUCGUUCAGCUUGGACGUACUGUAUGCCCGACUCCUUUUCUCUAGUAUUCGAUUGUUGCUCUUAAAUGAGUGACUUUAGUUGCUGGAACUUUUACCUUGAAAAAAUUGAAGUGCUCAAAGCAGGUU
rnacentral:rRNA from 1 species